GAGUUUGAUUCAUGGCUCAGGACGAACGCUGGCGGCGUGCUUAACACAUGCAAGUCGAACGGAAAGGCCCGCAUCAUUUUUUUGGUGGGGGUGCUCGAGUGGCGAACGGGUGAGUAACACGUGGGUGAUCUGCCCUGUACUUCGGGAUAAGCUUGGGAAACUGGGUCUAAUACCGGAUAGGACCAUGGUUUAGUGUCUCAUGGUGGAAAGAUUAUUGUUUUGGUGCAGGAUGAGCUCGCGGCCUAUCAGCUUGUUGGUGGGGUAAUGGCCUACCAAGGCGUCGACGGGUAGCCGGCCUGAGAGGGUGGACGGCCACAUUGGGACUGAGAUACGGCCCAGACUCCUACGGGAGGCAGCAGUGGGGAAUAUUGCACAAUGGGCGCAAGCCUGAUGCAGCGACGCCGCGUGGGGGAUGACGGCCUUCGGGUUGUAAACUCCUUUCGUUAGGGACGAAGCCGCACCUGUUUUGGGUGUGGUGACGGUACCUUUGUUAAGAAGCACCGGCUAACUACGUGCCAGCAGCCGCGGUAAUACGUAGGGUGCGAGCGUUGUCCGGAAUUACUGGGCGUAAAGAGCUCGUAGGUGGUUUGUUGCGUCGUCUGUGAAAUUCCGGGGCUUAACUUCGGGGUGGCAGGCGAUACGGGCAUAACUAGAGUGCUGUAGGGGAGACUGGAAUUCCUGGUGUAGCGGUGGAAUGCGCAGAUAUCAGGAGGAACACCGAUGGCGAAGGCAGGUCUCUGGGCAGUAACUGACGCUGAGGAGCGAAAGCAUGGGGAGCGAAACAGGAUUAGAUACCCUGGUAGUCCAUGCUGUAAACGGUGGGCGUUAGGUGUGGGGACCGGUUUGGUUUCUGUGCCGUAGCUAAACGCAUUAAGCGCCCCGCCUGGGGAGUACGGCCGCAAAGGCUAAAACUCAAAAGAAAUUGACGGGGGCCCGCACAAGCGGCGGAGCAUGUGGAUUAUUCGAUGCAAACGCGAAAGAACCUUACCUGGGUUUGACAUGCACCAGACGGUUGUAGAGAUACGUGACCUCCCUUUGUGGUUGGUGUGCAGGUGGUGCAUGGUUGUCGUCGAGCUCGUGUCGUGAGAUGUUGGGUUAAGUCCCGCGAACGAAGCGCAACCCUUGUUCUUAUGUUGCCGAGCGACUUUGGGUGGGGUACUCAUGAGAGACUGCCGGGGUUAGCUCGGAGGUAGGUGGGGAUGUACGUCGAAUUCUAUCGUGCCCUUUGAUGCCCGGGGCUUCGCGCGUGCUACGAAUGGUUAGUGACGAACGCGCGGCGAAACUCUG
rnacentral:rRNA from 1 species